UAUCAAUCUCUCUUUUCUUCUUCAUUUGUUCUUAAUUUUCUAGGGUUUCGUUUCUAACCCUUUCUUUUCUUCUAAAGUAAAAAUUAGGUGAGAAGCUUCGUUGUGCUUCGAGGUUCGUUCCUUUGGUGCUAAAAAGUGUUAUGAGUUUGCACGUUUGAAAAAUGAGAUCUUUCAUCGGCUGAACUUAGCGUGGAGGACUGGUAAAAUUUAGGCGGUCUGCAAGUUGGAGGGGGAAUAAAAUCUGAUAAUUGUUUGAGUUACAUUGAGGAAGGAGCAUGCCAUGUCAUUGUCACAUUUGUAAGUCAUAUCUUUGAGUUGUUCAAUGUUUUCAUUCCAUUAUCUUCCGUCAAAUAUUCAUUGAGAAAAGAAAACAUGUUUCGUUAAAUGUAUAUGGAUAAGGCUUCUUGCUUCUUACUUAAAUGCACUCUCAUUAUCCGCAUUGUAUAUAGCACUUGGUCUGCAAUCAUGAAGACCACUUUCCCUUUCAUUUUGGUGUUGUGUUUUUUUUUUUCUUUUCAAAUCUAGACUUUAAAAAUGAAAACACAAAAGGAUCUAUAAUAUGUCUAUCAGGUGGCAAGAAAAGCUUGUUAAUUUCUGUGGAAUGUGUUCUUACAACCUUUGCUUCUAUAUUGCUAUAAACUGUGGUUAAGAGGCAUAUAUGAUGAUUUCUUUUUACUUAGUCUCUCUUCUAAUUGGAUUUCAGUGUGUUAAGGUAUAUCGUCUGAAUGAUGAUGGGAAAUGGGAUGACCAGGGUAUUGGACAUGUCUCUAUUGAUUAUUUAGAGUAAAUCUUUUUUAUUUUUUAUCUGAAUGAAACUUUUAUUUGUGACAUGACAACUUGGGUAAUGUUAUCAUUUGAUCUGUAUAGCUUAUUACACCUGGUGGAAAAAAGCUUUUGUAUUGCUUCUUAUUGAAGCCUACAUUCUUAUUUUUAGAAUAAUUACAUUUUAGUCCAUAUUGCUUUUUAUCAUGUUUCAAAGUAAUUUAUGUUUGCAAUUAUCAAAUAGUGACCAGAUUAUAUCAGAUCAAAUUAUAUACUCCCAAUUAUAUGUUCUGUUGCUGAUGACUGCAUAUGAUAAUUCAUUUGCUAAUGAACUUUUGUUGCUUUGGCAAACUCAUCCUUUUCAAUGAAGCCCUUGCUUCAGUUUUUGUUGCUUUUGUUUUUCAUGACAUAAUCGGGUAUGUCUAUGAUGCCAUUUCAUAUCUUAUGCUACAAUAAUGUUAUAGGUACUCUUCUACUACAUGAAAAUGCUACAAGCAUUACUAUAGUAUAUAUGAACCUCUGUCUUCUCACUUUCAAAUUCUAGAGUGGUUGAUAUACACACUGAGAUAUACAUGUUUAUGAAUCUUGCCUUAAUCUCUUGGAGCUGAGUUUCAAAUUUUAGUUUGUCUCUAUUGAUGCCCGGAUGAUUUGUAUUUGACUAUUUGCAGUUGUUUGGAGAGAUUCCUGCACAGUAAGUAUAAGUACCUUUCUGCAUUCCCCCCUUUUAUUUUAUGCCUAAGUUCUUAUAAUUUAUAGACUGAUAUGAUCUAAAUUCUACUUUUUUUUUUCUUAGUUAAUUUGAGUAGAUUAAUUUAUAGAUCUACAUGGAUAGAUGUUCAAAAUUUCUCUGGCAAACAUAAUUUGUGCCUUAUUCAUUGAUUUGACCUACAAUUUUUGUUUAGUUUGAUUUAUUUAUCAUGAUCAUUGUUAAUCACAGGUUCAAUCAUACAGGGAAGGGUUUUUAUUUAUUUUUAUCUGGAGUUAAUGUUAUGAAAUAUUAACCACGAGCUACGUUGUUCUACUUUACUGAUCUAGUGACUUUUGUUGCACAGGAAAAAUUACAAUAUUUUCACAUAAAAGAGCUCAAAGAAGCAAGGAUUCUCAAAACAAAGCAUGAUUUUUUGUUGAAUCUCUUCAUUGGGAAAUUCUCGUGCAACUCAGCUCACCAGCAUAUAUACGAGGGACAAAAUGCUUUUGAAGCCUUGUCAAAGGCACAAGUCAAGGAAAAGCCAACAAACUACAUUUUUGAAAUCACAGUAAGCAUGUGUGUAAAUUAUAUAAUUUUAUUAAUAUAUUUAAAAAUUAAAUUAAAUUUCAUAGAUUUUAAAAAUAAAUUUAGAUGUUUUUUUUGGUAAAUUUCAGUUUUUUUAAAAUAAUUUUUAAAUUCGUAGAACUUUCCUGCGGAUUUAAAUCUAAAGCAAAGUCUAUAGGUUAUUUCUUACGGAUAUAAAAUUUGCAGGAAAAUUUCCAACAGACUUUGUUUCAGAUUUUAAAUCCUUAGGAAAAUUCCUGCAAAUGUACAUCUGCAGAAAAAAGUAUCUAUUUAUUUUGCAGAAAAUUUGAAUUUUGGAAGAAAAUUUGAAUUUUAAAAUUCCUGCAAAUGUACAAUCUUUGAAGGAUUUACUUGCGAUUUUAAAUCCGUAAGAAAAUCCAUUGGAAACGCAUUUCUUGCGAAUUUUUUUACAAAAUUCACAUAAAAUUUUCCAUGUAAUAGGCACUUUUCUAGCAGUGAUUGCUUCGGACUUUGGUAAUGUUUGCAUAGUAGUUGGAAAGCUAAGUAAGUAUAUUUGGUCUGCAAAUUAUUUCACUAA